AGCGGCGGACGGGUGAGUAACGCGUGGGAAUAUGCCCUUCUCUACGGAAUAGCCUCGGGAAACUGGGAGUAAUACCGUAUACGCCCUACGGGGGAAAGAUUUAUCGGAGAGGGAUUAGCCCGCGUUGGAUUAGGUAGUUGGUGGGGUAAUGGCCUACCAAGCCGACGAUCCAUAGCUGGUUUGAGAGGAUGAUCAGCCACACUGGGACUGAGACACGGCCCAGACUCCUACGGGAGGCAGCAGUGGGGAAUCUUAGACAAUGGGGGCAACCCUGAUCUAGCCAUGCCGCGUGAGUGAUGAAGGCCUUAGGGUUGUAAAGCUCUUUCAGUGGGGAAGAUAAUGACGGUACCCACAGAAGAAGCCCCGGCUAACUCCGUGCCAGCAGCCGCGGUAAUACGGAGGGGGCUAGCGUUGUUCGGAAUUACUGGGCGUAAAGCGCGCGUAGGCGGAUUGGAAAGUUGGAGGUGAAAUCCCAGGGCUCAACCUUGGAACUGCCUUCAAAACUAUCAGUCUAGAGAUCGAGAGAGGUGAGUGGAAUUCCGAGUGUAGAGGUGAAAUUCGUAGAUAUUCGGAGGAACACCAGUGGCGAAGGCGGCUCACUGGCUCGAUACUGACGCUGAGGUGCGAAAGCGUGGG
rnacentral:rRNA from 1 species